CUCGUAGUUGGAUUUCUGGUGGGAGCGAUCGGUCCGACACUUUGUGUGGGUACUCGUAUUGUCUCCGGCCAUCCUUGGGCGGAGCCUGUCUGGCAUUAAGUUGUCGGGCAGGGGAUGCCCAUCGUUUACUGUGAAAAAAUUAGAGUGUUCAAAGCAGGCUUAUGCCGUUGAAUAUAUUAGCAUGGAAUAAUAAGAUAGGACCUCGGUACUAUUUUGUUGGUUUGUGUGCCAAGGUAAUGAUUAAUAGGGACAGUUGGGGGUAUUCGUAUUCAGUUGUCAGAGGUGAAAUUCUUGGAUUUACGGAAGACGAACUACUGCGAAAGCAUUUACCAA
rnacentral:rRNA from 1 species